rnacentral:tRNA from 1 species
GCAGUCGUGGCCGAGUGGUUAAGGCGACGGACUAGAAAUCCGUUGGGGUCUCCCCGCACAGGUUCGAAUCCUGUCGACUGCG